rnacentral:rRNA from 1 species
GAUGAACGCUGGCGGCGUGCCUAAUACAUGCAAGUCGAGCGAACAGACGAGGAGCUUGCUCCUCUGACGUUAGCGGCGGACGGGUGAGUAACACGUGGAUAACCUACCUAUAAGACUGGGAUAACUUCGGGAAACCGGAGCUAAUACCGGAUAAUAUAUUGAACCGCAUGGUUCAAUAGUGAAAGACGGUUUUGCUGUCACUUAUAGAUGUAUCCGCGCCGCAUUAGCUAGUUGGUAAGGUAACGGCUUACCAAGGCAACGAUGCGUAGCCGACCUGAGAGGGUGAUCGGCCACACUGGAACUGAGACACGGUCCAGACUCCUACGGGAGGCAGCAGUAGGGAAUCUUCCGCAAUGGGCGAAAGCAUGACGGAGCAACGCCGCGUGAGUGAUGAAGGUCUUCGGAUCGUAAAACUCUGUUAUUAGGGAAGAACAAAUGUGUAAGUAACUAUGCACGUCUUGACGGUACCUAAUCAGAAAGCCACGGCUAACUACGUG